rnacentral:rRNA from 1 species
UACGUAGGGGGCAAGCGUUGUCCGGAAUUAUUGGGCGUAAAGAGCGCGUAGGCGGUCCGAUAAGUCGGCUGUGAAAGUCAGGGGCUCAACCCUUGAAAGCCGGCCGAUACUGUCGGACUAGAGUCCGGAAGAGGCAAGUGGAAUUCCCGGUGUAGCGGUGAAAUGCGCAGAUAUCGGGAGGAACACCAAUGGCGAAGGCAGCUUGCUGGGACGGUACUGACGCUGAGGCGCGAAAGCGUGGGGAGCAAACGGGG